CUUUUGUUCGGGAAGAAGAUCUGACGGUACCGAACGAAUCAGCAUCGGCUAACUCCGUGCCAGCAGCCGCGGUAAUACGGAGGAUGCAAGCGUUAUCCGGAAUUAUUGGGCGUAAAGCGUCCGCAGGUGGUUGUUCAAGUCUGCUGUCAAAGCGUGGAGCUUAACUCCAUACCGGCAGUGGAAACUGGAUGACUAGAGUUCGGUAGGGGUUGCGGGAAUUCCCAGUGUAGCGGUGAAAUGCGUAGAUAUUGGGAAGAACACCGGCGGCGAAAGCGCGCAACUGGGCCGAGACUGACACUGAGGGACGAAAGCUAGGGGAGCGAAAGGGAUUAGAUACCCCUGUAGUCCUAGCUGUAAACGAUGGGCACUAGGUGUUGACCGUAUCGACCCGGUCAGUGCCGUAGCUAACGCGAUAAGUGCCCCGCCUGGGGAGUACGCACGCAAGUGUGAAACUCAAAGGAAUUGACGGGGGCCCGCACAAGCGGUGGAGUAUGUGGUUUAAUUCGAUGCAACGCGAAGAACCUUACCAGGGCUUGACAUGUCUGGGACCUCUGGGAAACUAGAGGGUGCCUUCGGGAACCAGAACACAGGUGGUGCAUGGCUGUCGUCAGCUCGUGUCGUGAGAUGUUGGGUUAAGUCCCGCAACGAGCGCAACCCUCGUCCUUAGUUGCCAGCAUUUAGUUGGGCACUCUGAGGAGACUGCCGGUGACAAACCGGAGGAAGGUGGGGAUGACGUCAAGUCAGCAUGCCCCUUACGUCCUGGGCUACACACGUACUACAAUGCUGUGGACAAAGAGUUGCAAGCACGCGAGUGCAAGCCAAUCUCGUAAACCACGGCUCAGUUCAGAUUGCAGGCUGCAACUCGCCUGCAUGAAGGCGGAAUCGCUAGUAAUCGCCGGUCAGCAUACGGCGGUGAAUACGUUCCCGGGCCUUGUACACACCGCCCGUCACACCAUGGGAGUUGGCCACGCCCGAAGUCGUUACUCCAACCGAAAGGAGGGGAACGCCGAAGGCAGGGCUGAUGACUGGGGUGAAGUCGUAACAAGGUAGCCGUACCGGAAGGUGUGGCUGGAUCACCUCCU
rnacentral:rRNA from 2 species